AUUGAACGCUGGCGGCAUGCCUUACACAUGCAAGUCGAACGGCAGCACGGGGGCAACCCUGGUGGCGAGUGGCGAACGGGUGNGUAAUAUAUCGGAACGUGCCCUAGAGUGGGGGAUAACGUAGCGAAAGUUACGCUAAUACCGCAUACGAUCUAAGGAUGAAAGUGGGGGAUCGCAAGACCUCAUGCUCGUGGAGCGGCCGAUAUCUGAUUAGCUAGUUGGUGGGGUAAAAGCCUACCAAGGCGACGAUCAGUAGCUGGUCUGAGAGGACGACCAGCCACACUGGGACUGAGACACGGCCCAGACUCCUACGGGAGGCAGCAGUGGGGAAUUUUGGACAAUGGGCGCAAGCCUGAUCCAGCAAUGCCGCGUGUGUGAAGAAGGCCUUCGGGUUGUAAAGCACUUUUGUCAGGAACGAAACGGUCUGAUCUAAUACAUUAGGCUAAUGACGGUACCUGAAGAAUAAGCACCGGCUAACUACGUGCCAGCAGCCGCGGUAAUACGUAGGGUGCAAGCGUUAAUCGGAAUUACUGGGCGUAAAGCGUGCGCAGGCGGUUAUGUAAGACAGAUGUGAAAUGCCCGGGCUUAACCUGGGAACUGCAUUUGUGACUGCAUGGCUAGAAUCUGGCAGAGGGGGGUAGAAUUCCACGUGUAGCAGUGAAAUGCGUAGAUAUGUGGAGGAAUACCGAUGGCGAAGGCAGCCCCCUGGGCUAAGAUUGACGCUCAUGCACGAAAGCGUGGGGAGCAAACAGGAUUAGAUACCCUGGUAGUCCAUGCUGUAAACGAUGAAAACUAGACGUUUAUCAACUAAGGUUGAUGAGUGUUGAAGCUAACGCGAUAAGUUUUCCGCCUGGGGAGUACGGUCGCAAGAUA
rnacentral:rRNA from 1 species